rnacentral:rRNA from 1 species
GCGGUAACACCGCCAGCCCGAGUGGUGAUCACUAUUAUUGGGUCUAAAGGGUCCGUAGCCGGUUUAAUCAGUCUUCUGGGAAAUCUAAUCGCUUAACUAUUAGGCUUCCAGGGGAUACUGUUAGACUUGGGACCGGGAGAGGUAAGAGGUACUGCAGGGGUAGGAGUGAAAUCUUGUAAUCCCUGUGAGACCACCAGUGGCGAAGGCGUCUUACCAGAACGGGUCCGACGGUGAGGGACGAAAGCUGGGGGCACGAACCGGAUUAGAUACCCGGGUAGUCCCAGCUGUAAACGAUGCUCGUUAGGUGUCAGGAACGGUGCGACUGUUUCUGGUGCCGAAGGGAAGCCGUGAAACGAGCCACCUGGGAAGUACGGCCGCAAGGCUGAAACUUAAAGGAAUUGGCGGGGGAGCACUACAACGGGUGGAGCCUGCGGUUUAAUUGGACUCAACGCCGGAAAACUCACCGGGGGCGACAGCAAUAUGUAGGUCAGGUUAAAGGUCUUACCUGAAUCGCUGAGAGGAGGUGCAUGGCCGUCGUCAGUUCGUACUGUGAAGCAUCCUGUUAAGUCAGGCAACGAGCAAGACCCGUGCCCACUGUUACCAGCAUAUCCUUUAUGGAUGAUGGGGACUCUGUGGGGACCGCUGCUGCUAAAGCAGAGGAAGGUGCGGGCUACGGUAGGUCAGUAUGCCCCGAAUCUCCCGGGCUACACGCGGGCUACAAUGGUUGGGACAAUGGGUAUCUACUCCGAAAGGAGUUGCAAUCUCUUAACCCAAUCGUAGUUCGAU